AAAAAAGCAGGACUUUGUGCUCUCUCUUUAAACAGUGUCCCCGUAAACUUUAGGUACAUAAUAUGUAUGUCCAUCGUUAUUGGGUGAACCUUUGGACGCUCGUUCAUGUGUUGGACGGUCUCUCGUGUCCAUUGGUUCAGUAAACGAUGGUACACUU
rfam:Zea mays cultivar B73 chromosome 9, whole genome shotgun sequence.